rnacentral:rRNA from 1 species
GACGAACGCUGGCGGCGCGCCUAACACAUGCAAGUCGAACGGAGCUGUUUUCUCUGAAGUUUUCGGAUGGAAGAGAGUUCAGCUUAGUGGCGAACGGGUGAGUAACACGUGAGCAACCUGCCUUUCAGUGGGGGACAACAUUUGGAAACGAAUGCUAAUACCGCAUAAGACCACAGUGUCGCAUGGCACAGGGGUCAAAGGAUUUAUCCGCUGAAAGAUGGGCUCGCGUCCGAUUAGCUAGAUGGUGAGGUAACGGCCCACCAUGGCGACGAUCGGUAGCCGGACUGAGAGGUUGAACGGCCACAUUGGGACUGAGACACGGCCCAGACUCCUACGGGAGGCAGCAGUGGGGAAUAUUGCACAAUGGGGGAAACCCUGAUGCAGCGACGCCGCGUGGAGGAAGAAGGUCUUCGGAUUGUAAACUCCUGUCCCAGGGGACGAUAAUGACGGUACCCUGGGAGGAAGCACCGGCUAACUACGUGCCAGCAGCCGCGGUAAAACGUAGGGUGCAAGCGUUGUCCGGAAUUACUGGGUGUAAAGGGAGCGCAGGCGGAUUGGCAAGUUGGGAGUGAAAUCUAUGGGCUCAACCCAUAAAUUGCUUUCAAAACUGUCAGUCUUGAGUGGUGUAGAGGUAGGCGGAAUUCCCGGUGUAGCGGUGGAAUGCGUAGAUAUCGGGAGGAACACCAGUGGCGAAGGCGGCCUACUGGGCA